AGACCCGAAACCCGGUGAUCUAGCCAUGGGCAGGUUGAAGGUUGGGUAACACUAACUGGAGGACCGAACCGACUAAUGUUGAAAAAUUAGCGGAUGACCUGUGGCUGGGGGUGAAAGGCCAAUCAAACCGGGAGAUAGCUGGUUCUCCCCGAAAGCUAUUUAGGUAGCGCCUCGUGAAUUCAUCUCCGGGGGUAGAGCACUGUUUCGGCUAGGGGGCCAUCCCGGCUUACCAACCCGAUGCAAACUGCGAAUACCGGAGAAUGUUAUCACGGGAGACACACGGCGGGUGCUAACGUCCGUCGUGAAGAGGGAAACAACCCAGACCGCCAGCUAAGGUCCCAAAGUCAUGGUUAAGUGGGAAACGAUGUGGGAAGGCCCAGACAGCCAGGAUGUUGGCUUAGAAGCAGCCAUCAUUUAAAGAAAGCGUAAUAGCUCACUGGUCGAGUCGGCCUGCGCGGAAGAUGUAACGGGGCUAAACCAUGCACCGAAGCUGCGGCAGCGACGCUUAUGCGUUGUUGGGUAGGGGAGCGUUCUGUAAGCCUGUGAAGGUGGCCUGUGAGGGUUGCUGGAGGUAUCAGAAGUGCGAAUGCUGACAUAAGUAACGAUAAAGCGGGUGAAAAGCCCGCUCGCCGGAAGACCAAGGGUUCCUGUCCAACGUUAAUCGGGGCAGGGUGAGUCGACCCCUAAGGCGAGGCCGAAAGGCGUAGUCGAUGGGAAACGGGUUAAUAUUCCCGUACUUGGUGUUACUGCGAAGGGGGGACGGAGAAGGCUAUGUUGGCCGGGCGACGGUUGUCCCGGUUUAAGCGUGUAGGUGUGUGUUCCAGGUAAAUCCGGUUCACUUUAACACUGAGGCGUGA
rnacentral:rRNA from 1 species